GUCCAGGGAUGGGAAUCGAACCCACAGUGUUCCGCUUACCGGGCAGAUGCCAUGUCCACUAGGCUACCCUGGA